AAUAGAUACCCGGGUAGUCCACGCCGUAAACGAUGUCGACUUGGAGGUUGUUCCCUUGAGGAGUGGCUUCCGGAGCUAACGCGUUAAGUCGACCGCCUGGGGAGUACGGCCGCAAGGUUAAAACUCAAAAUGAAUUGACGGGGGCCCGCACAAGCGGUGGAGCAUGUGGUUUAAUUCGAUGCAACGCGAAGAACCUUACCUACUCUUGACAUCCAGAGAACUUAGCAGAGAUGCUUUGGUGCCUUCGGGAACUCUGAGACAGGUGCUGCAUGGCUGUCGUCAGCUCGUGUUGUGAAAUGUUGGGUUAAGUCCCGCAACGAGCGCAACCCUUAUCCUUUGUUGCCAGCGGUUCGCCGGGAACUCAAAGGAGACUGCCAGUGAUAAACUGGAGGAAGUGGGGAUGACGUCAAGUCAUCAUGGCCCUUACGAGUAGGGCUACACACGUGCUACAAUGGCGUAUACAAGGAGAAGCGACCUCGCGAGAGCAAGCGGACCUCAUAAAGUACGUCGUAGUCCGGAUUGGAGUCUGCAACUCGA
rnacentral:rRNA from 1 species